UCGACGAUGAACCACCUUCGGGUGGGGAUUAGUGGCGAACGGGUGAGUAACACGUGGGCAAUCUGCCCUGCACUCUGGGACAAGCCCUGGAAACGGGGUCUAAUACCGGAUAUGAGCUUCCACCGCAUGGUGGGGGCUGUAAAGCUCCGGCGGUGCAGGAUGAGCCCGCGGCCUAUCAGCUUGUUGGUGAGGUAACGGCUCACCAAGGCGACGACGGGUAGCCGGCCUGAGAGGGCGACCGGCCACACUGGGACUGAGACACGGCCCAGACUCCUACGGGAGGCAGCAGUGGGGAAUAUUGCACAAUGGGCGCAAGCCUGAUGCAGCGACGCCGCGUGAGGGAUGACGGCCUUCGGGUUGUAAACCUCUUUCAGCAGGGAAGAAGCGAAAGUGACGGUACCUGCAGAAGAAGCGCCGGCUAACUACGUGCCAGCAGCCGCGGUAAUACGUAGGGCGCGAGCGUUGUCCGGAAUUAUUGGGCGUAAAGAGCUCGUAGGCGGCUUGUCGCGUCGGUUGUGAAAGCCCGGGGCUUAACCCCGGGUCUGCAGUCGAUACGGGCAGGCUAGAGUUCGGUAGGGGAGAUCGGAAUUCCUGGUGUAGCGGUGAAAUGCGCAGAUAUCAGGAGGAACACCGGUGGCGAAGGCGGAUCUCUGGGCCGAUACUGACGCUGA
rnacentral:rRNA from 1 species